GAGGGUAUAGCUCAAGAGGUAGAGUACAUGCCUAGCAUGCGCAGUGUGUCCUGGGUUCAAUCCCCAGUACUGCCU
rnacentral:tRNA from 1 species